AACGAACGCUGGCGGCAUGCCUAACACAUGCAAGUCGAACGAGACCUUCGGGUCUAGUGGCGCACGGGUGCGUAACGCGUGGGAACCUGCCUUUAGGUUCGGAAUAACUCAGAGAAAUUUGAGCUAAUACCGGAUAAUGUCUUCGGACCAAAGAUUUAUCGCCUUUAGAUGGGCCCGCGUUGGAUUAGCUAGUUGGUGGGGUAAAGGCCUACCAAGGCGACGAUCCAUAGCUGGUCUGAGAGGAUGAUCAGCCACACUGGGACUGAGACACGGCCCAGACUCCUACGGGAGGCAGCAGUGGGGAAUAUUGGACAAUGGGCGAAAGCCUGAUCCAGCAAUAGCCGCGUGAGUGAUGAAGGCCUUA
rnacentral:rRNA from 1 species